rnacentral:lncRNA from 1 species
CCUCACGAGACAGAACCGUGAGACUCUGGAUUCCUGAUAAGAGAGGAAAAUUCUCAGAAUUUAAAGCUCAUACAGCUCCAGUUCGAAGUGUAGACUUUUCAGCUGAUGGCCAGUUUCUAGCUACAGCUUCUGAAGACAAAUCCAUAAAAGUAUGGAGCAUGUAUCGCCAGCGCUUCCUGUAUUCCUUGUAUCGACAUACACACUGGGUACGCUGUGCCAAAUUUUCACCCGAUGGAAGACUAAUUGUGUCAUGUAGUGAGGAUAAAACUAUUAAAAUUUGGGAUACCACAAAUAAGCAAUGUGUUAAUAACUUCUCAGAUUCCGUUGGAUUUGCAAAUUUUGUGGACUUUAACCCUAGUGGUACAUGCAUAGCUUCAGCAGGUUCUGAUCAAACUGUGAAAGUCUGGGAUGUAAGAGUGAACAAAUUACUACAGCAUUACCAAGUUCACAGCGGUGGAGUUAAUUGCAUAUCAUUCCAUCCUUCGGGUAACUAUCUCAUCACAGCUUCUUCAGAUGGUACCCUUAAGAUUCUGGACCUCUUAGAAGGAAGGCUCAUCUAUACACUUCAAGGACAUACGGGACCUGUCUUUACUGUUUCAUUUUCAAAAGGUGGAGAGCUAUUUGCAUCAGGAGGUGCAGACACACAGGUCUUAUUAUGGAGGACUAACUUUGAUGAAUUGCAUUGUAAAGGUCUUACCAAAAGAAAUCUCAAAAGAUUACAUUUUGAUUCACCACCACAUCUUCUUGAUAUCUACCCAAGAACACCACAUCCCCAUGAGGAAAAAGUUGAGACUGUAGAAACAACAGAAACCAGUGGUAGGACUCUGCCAGACAAGGGUGAAGAGGCCUGUGGAUAUUUCUUGA